ACAGCUACAACCGCACAGAACGAGUUUGUAAGUACAGGUAACUGUCACUCUGGAUGGCGAGUCUAAGUCUAUU
rnacentral:sRNA from 1 species